GCGGCAGUCAUGUCUACUAUAAGUUUGUUGAGGAUGUAUAAUGUCGUGGAGAAGGACUGGUUGGGAUUGUAGCCCAAUGCUGGACCUUUAAAGAAAAUGGGAUGAUCCUGCCACCAUCACACAGCCUAGCACUGUGUCCCUGGGAAAUGAUGAUAAAGUGAUGAAUGACCGUUUAUAACAGUUACAAUAAUUGUAUGAGCCAUGGCAACCCUAAAGGCUAUGUUUUGAA